CUGACUUUGCCCACUCUGUCAAACCCACUACAUUGAGACUAACACAGAAGCACAUAGACGGCCACAGGAAAAACGCUGCGUUGCUCAAAGACUGUUGAAAGCAGCGGUUUGUAGGACACAACGGAGAGAAAAACAAAGGACUGAAGACAAUCGCAGCAAAAUGUUCACCAUAACCAGCGUAAUCUUGGGUACAGACAUCGUCAGGGUGUUGUGGUUUGAAACAGCUUGAGAAGCAACAGUCCAGAAGCAAGAGAGCCUACAACCACAAAU
ensembl:lncRNA